GUAAGUUUACUUAUGAGGUGGCGAGCGGCGGACGGGUGAGUAAUGCCUAGGGAUCUGCCCAGUCGAGGGGGAUAACAGUUGGAAACGACUGCUAAUACCGCAUACGCCCUACGGGGGAAAGAGGGGGACCUUCGGGCCUCUCGCGAUUGGAUGAACCUAGGUGGGAUUAGCUAGUUGGUGAGGUAAUGGCUCACCAAGGC
rnacentral:rRNA from 1 species